rnacentral:rRNA from 1 species
CACGUAGGAGGCAAACGUUAUCCGGAUUUACUGGGCGUAAAGCGCGUGUAGGUGGUUCUGUAAGUAGGGCGUGAAAGCUCCCGGCUCAACUGGGAGAUGCCGUUCUAAACUGCAGAGCUAGAGGAUGGUAGAGGGAGGUGGAAUUCCAGGUGUAGCGGUGGAAUGCGCAGAUAUCUGGAGGAACACCAGUGGCGAAGGCGGCCUCCUGGACCAUUCCUGACACUCAGACGCGAAAGCUAGGGUAGCAAACGGGAUUAGAUACCCCGGUAGUUCCU